GACGAACGCUGGCGGCGUGCUUAACACAUGCAAGUCGAGCGGGAAACUUCGGUUUCCAGCGGCGGACGGGUGAGUAACACGUGGGCAACCUGCCUCACAAUGAGGGAUAGCCUUCCGAAAGGAAGAUUAAUACCUCAUAACACAAGAGAAACGCAUGUUUCUUUUGCCAAAGAAUUUCGUUGUGAGAUGGGCCCGCGGCGCAUUAGCUUGUUGGUGAGGUAACGGCUCACCAAGGCUUCGAUGCGUAGCCGACCUGAGAGGGUGAUCGGCCACAUUGGAACUGAGACACGGUCCAGACUCCUACGGGAGGCAGCAGUGGGGAAUAUUGCACAAUGGAGGAAACUCUGAUGCAGCAACGCCGCGUGAGUGAUGAAGGUCUUCGGAUUGUAAAGCUCUGUCUUCUGGGACGAUAAUGACGGUACCAGAGGAGGAAGCCACGGCUAACUACGUGCCAGCCGCCGCAGUAA
rnacentral:rRNA from 1 species